UGAAGAUUUUUCUCUGUGUUUCCUAACCAAGAUUUUUCUCCUAUGUUUCCUUAGGAUGAAUACCUAAUAAAGUAAUAACACUAGACAAAGGUGGGUUAAGGAUAAAUAAACAUUUCUGUUCUCCCACAAAAGGGUCAUAAGUUUUCAUGUCUCCUGCGAGCUCCCUUUCUCUCACUAAGGAUUCAUCAUUUAUCUUUUCUCCCUUUUCAGCAUUUUCUCAUGUGGCAUCAUUCUUCCCUUUCACGGCCUCAAUUUGCUAUUCUCUCAUGAUGUAAAUUUUCUCUUUUCCCACAACCUCAACUUUCUUUACUUCAUCACAUGAGUUAGUAUUCUCCUCUUGGGUUUGGUUAUUGGCUCUUGAUGAAAUAGGAGGUCUUUGUUUUACUCCCUUAAUACUAUCGGUAUAAUCUUUCAGUUCCCUAUUAAGCAUUCUAAGCUGACUUAGGGUAACUUUUGUACAGGAUCUUAUAUUGGUUGGGAUAUUGUAUAAGCUCAUUGUGAAAGUUUGCAAGGAAUGGUUAGUAAAAAAGAUAACACUCCCUCACAUGUUUCAUUCCUUGUGUUUCACUCAUCCUGUUUCUUUCAAGUUGAAUGUUAGAAUUGAAUUUUUUUGAAUCAAGAUAAUCAAAUUUUGUUUAUGCCACUUUAAGGAAUUCUAGAGAAAGAAAAUAGUAAAAUAUUUAUAGAAGUAAUAGUUCAAUCACACGGAUGAAGAUGGUGUGUGUUUUAUUUAUGAUGCAAUUAGCCACUUAGAGAUAUAAUGAAAUAAAAG
rnacentral:lncRNA from 1 species